AAACAAAGACAGGUGUUGCGAAUGAGCCCAGCCAAUGAUAUGUGUUAUGUGAUCUUUGCAAAACGGGUUCGGGAAGAGUUGCAAAAAUUAUCUUCACUU
ensembl:ncRNA Y32F6B.8 ncRNA